GAACAUAUCUGAGAGUAACUGUUCAGGUAUUGACGGUAUUUAACCAGAAAGCCACGGCUAACUACGUGCCAGCAGCCGCGGUAAUACGUAGGUGGCAAGCGUUGUCCGGAUUUAUUGGGCGUAAAGCGAGCGCAGGCGGUUUUUUAAGUCUGAUGUGAAAGCCUUCGGCUCAACCGAAGAAGUGCAUCGGAAACUGGGAAACUUGAGUGCAGAAGAGGACAGUGGAACUCCAUGUGUAGCGGUGAAAUGCGUAGAUAUAUGGAAGAACACCAGUGGCGAAGGCGGCUGUCUGGUCUGUAACUGACGCUGAGGCUCGAAAGUAUGGGUAGCAAACAGGAUUAGAUACCCUGGUAGUCCAUACCGUAAACGAUGAAUGCUAAGUGUUGGAGGGUUUCCGCCCUUCAGUGCUGCAGCUAACGCAUUAAGCAUUCCGCCUGGGGAGUACGGCCGCAAGGCUGAAACUCAAAGGAAUUGACGGGGGCCCGCACAAGCGGUGGAGCAUGUGGUUUAAUUCGAAGCUACGCGAAGAACCUUACCAGGUCUUGACAUACUAUGCAAAUCUAAGAGAUUAGACGUUCCCUUCGGGGA
rnacentral:rRNA from 2 species